rnacentral:rRNA from 1 species
CCUACGGGGGGCUGCAGUGGGGAAUUUUGGACAAUGGGGGCAACCCUGAUCCAGCCAUGCCGCGUGAGUGAAGAAGGCCUUCGGGUUGUAAAGCUCUUUCAGACGGAAAGAAAUCGCAUCUUCUAAUACAGGGUGUGGAUGACGGUACCGUAAGAAGAAGCACCGGCUAACUACGUGCCAGCAGCCGCGGUAAUACGUAGGGUGCGAGCGUUAAUCGGAAUUACUGGGCGUAAAGCGUGCGCAGGCGGUGAUGUAAGACAGAUGUGAAAUCCCCG